rnacentral:sRNA from 1 species
UGCUUCUACUUGCAAUUCGGUGGGCCAAACAGCGGGUUACUUUUUGGGCAAUGUUUUGUUUUUGGCCCUUGAAUCUGCCGACUUUUGUAACAAAUAUUUGCGGUUUCAGCCUCAACCCAGAGGAAUCGUUACUCUUUCAGGGCUUGUUAAACAACUGUUUUAAAACAGAUGAUGACCAAAACCUGCUCAAUGAGAAUAGUAUUGUACAUGAAACUCUAAAGAAGUCAUUAUUCAUCUCAUUUUGCAGAUGGAAUUAAGAAUGCAAAAAUAGUGGACAUGCCAAGUGAAUGCUGUUAAUAAUAUGUAAAAUUAUUUGAUUAAACAUUUAUUACUUAAAAAAAAGUGGACAUUACCCUCACUUAUAAGGAUAAUGUUAUUAAUACAUUCUUGUUCAUUCCUUUCGAACCAGAUUCCAAAAUGCUAGAAAUUAUGUUAAGAUGUUAUUUUAUACUGGGCGUGGUGGCUCACACCUGUGAUCCUGGCUCUUUGGGAAGCCAA